GUAACAACAUGUCUCCGAGCUAUUUUGAUCUAAAGCCUUGGCUAUGAUCGACUGGCCGAUAGGGCUUACCGAGAAAUUGGUUGGCCUCCCCUGUGGAAAGGAGCACAGCUUGGCUUAUU
rnacentral:ncRNA from 2 species